rnacentral:rRNA from 1 species
GAGUAAUGUCUGGGAAACUGCCCGAUGGAGGGGGAUAACUACUGGAAACGGUAGCUAAUACCGCAUAACGUCGCAAGACCAAAGUGGGGGACCUUCGGGCCUCACACCAUCGGAUGUGCCCAGAUGGGAUUAGCUAGUAGGUGGGGUAAUGGCUCACCUAGGCGACGAUCCCUAGCUGGUCUGAGAGGAUGACCAGCCACACUGGAACUGAGACACGGUCCAGACUCCUACGGGAGGCAGCAGUGGGGAAUAUUGCACAAUGGGCGCAAGCCUGAUGCAGCCAUGCCGCGUGUAUGAAGAAGGCCUUCGGGUUGUAAAGUACUUUCAGCGGGGAGGAAGGCGGUGAGGUUAAUAACCUCACCGAUUGACGUUACCCGCAGAAGAAGCACCGGCUAACUCCGUGCCAGCAGCCGCGGUAAUACGGAGGGUGCAAGCGUUAAUCGGAAUUACUGGGCGUAAAGCGCACGCAGGCGGUCUGUCAAGUCGGAUGUGAAAUCCCCGGGCUUAACCUGGGAACUGCAUUCGAAACUGGCAGGCUAGAGUCUUGUAGAGGGGGGUAGAAUUCCAGGUGUAGCGGUGAAAUGCGUAGAGAUCUGGAGGAAUACCGGUGGCGAAGGCGGCCCCCUGGACAAAGACUGACGCUCAGGUGCGAA